AUGGCCUGGGUCUUAGUCCUCCUGGUCUUCUCUCAUUUCUUGGGUUCCCUCUCCCAGCCUGUGUUGACUCAGAUGUCCUCUGUCUCUGCAUUUCUUGGAUCUUCUGCCAGACUCAACUGCACACUGAGCAGUGGUUUUGAAGUACCUGGAUAUCAUAUAUCCUGGUACCAGCAGAAGACAGAGAGUAUGCCUCAGUUUUUGCUAAGAUACUACUCAGACUCAGAUAAGUACCAGGGACCUGGGGUCCCCAGCCGCUUCUCUGGAUCCAAAGAUGCCUCUGCCAGUGCAGGGAUUUUACUCAUCUCUGGACUUCAGCCAGAGGAUGAGGCUGACUAUUACUGUGCAACAUAUCAUGGCAACACUGGCAGUAACACAGUGAUCCAGACCAAGGGAGAACUGCAACGAAGCUUCCCCAAGCUCCUCAUCUAUGGUAAUAGCAAUCGACCAUCAGUGAUCCCUGAUUGCUUCUCUGGCUCCAAUUCUGGUAACUCAGCCACACUUACCAUUACUGGGCUCCAGCCUGAAGAUGAAGUUGAUUAUUUUUGUGAGUCCCAUUAUGAUAACCUCGAUGCUCACACAGUGCUUCAGUUCUAUAAGGAAGUGAGACAAGAAACCUUCCUGUUCCGCCAGUAG